rnacentral:lncRNA from 1 species
CCACCCUCGCUAAUGUUGUAAAAGCUUCGGUGUAACACCGUAAAAUUUAAAACGAUUUUUCACUUAAUUUUUUAAUAAAACAUUACAUUAUUAAAUCAUCCAAAAGGCAAGUAUCCAAUGUUUCCACAAAAUACAUAACAUAAUCCAUAACCCAAGAUCUCAAAAUCAUGACAUCUGCAAGUGUGUACUGAUCAAGCUGGCGCCUUCUCCCGAUCCUCGCUAGUACCUGCAACACAUAACACAUAAAGUUGUAAGCACGAAUGCUUAGUGAGUUCCCCAAAAUACCACGUACCGCACAUAUGCCUUUUCAGGCCAUAGGAUCUUCCGAUCCAAGUGUCUCAGGGGAUUUCCAUCCCAGACUUUGUUGACCUUCCGGUCCAUAUCAUCAUACUCAUAUCACAACAUAUCACAUAUAGCAUACAUCACAUAUACAUCAUACACAUAAGACCUUCUGGUCACACAUAAUUACCCCGUCGGGUAAGGCAUAGUGAGAAGACUCACCUCGCUGAUGUCGGAUAAUCACUCGUUCCCGAUCUCCCGACCUAUCAUCCUCCUAUAUCAUAAGUACAACUCUCAUUAAUACUUUCCUAACUUUGUUUGACUGACACUAUCAAGUCAACACUAGUCAACCCUGGUCAACGCUGGUCAACGGUCAACCUUUGACCCGACUCGUCGAGUCCCCUCGGGCAACUCAGCGAGUUCACCCGUGUCCACCCGUACCCCUCUAGUCCUGCUUAACACGUCGAGUCUUUCCCCUGCUCGACGAGUGACACCUGGCUUGAAUCGCAGGACACCCCAACUCAACUCGUCGUGUCCAAUUAUGAACUCGGCGAGUUCCAUCGCGUACUUACAACCUCUAGAUUCCUUAUGACUCACUGAGUCAUUCCCAAAAGGGCGAAUCACCAACUGUGUGAUUUACAGGGAAACCUUAACCCUACUCGUCGAGUCUGUUCUUGGACUUGGCGAUUCCAUGUCAUGCACAAACCCAAAUGGCCUCCUGAGGUCGGAUCUAUUUCAUUAGUCCAUAGAUCCGACCUUCCCAAGCAUCAUAAUCACGUAAAGUUUAUAUAUAUCUUGAUGUACAUGCAACAUCUACUUGAUCCUAUAUGAUUUUUUAGCCCCAAAUAUCAUAACCCAAGGUCAAAAUCCCCAUUGUUCUUCAUAAAGCUUGAUGAGUAAUGCUCUCUAUACCUCUAUGGAUCCAGAUCUAAAGCCUCAUCACAAUAAGGGACUAAUUAGACAUAAAAUCUAACCGUAAAAGGGUCCAAGAAACCAUAAAUCCAUAUGAUCAUCAUAACAGCAGAAGGGUAGUUGAAUUACUACCUCAAAUAUUAUGCCCUGAGCUCCAAAUCCACAGAAUGGAAACCUCCUUUGCUUUCUCUUGGCUAGAACCUCCUUCUUCUUGCUAAACAACACCUCAAAGGUCAAUAAUGGCUCCCUCUCUCUCUCAAAACGCUCAAGCACUCUAGGGUUUCUCUCAAGGGACUGAUAGCCGCAAAUGACGGCCCUAAGGGCCUUUAAAUAGGUCCCAAACCUGAGAGAUUAGGGUUCCAUUAAACAACGCAGACUCGCCGAGCCAACCCAUGAACUCGCCGAGUCCGGUCAUGAUCCGGAUAAGAAUUCGCAACCCUACUCGGCGAGUCUAAGAACCAACUCGCCGAGUCCCUCCACAAACUCCAAAAUAAAUUAAUAAAAUAAUAUACCUGGGGAUCCGGAUGUUAUAAAUUUCCCCCACUAGAAUCAGACUUCGUCCUCGAAGUCUUACGCUGCAAACAACUCUGGAUGUUGCUCACGCAUCUCACGCUCCAGCUCCCAAGUCAAAUCUGACCCCUUCCGAUGCUACCACUGGACCUGCACCAGAGGCACUUCCUUGUUCCUAAGAACCUUGAUCUUCCGAUCCUUAAUCACCACCGGUCUCUCAACAUAGUUCAGGCUCGCAUCCACCUGAAUAUCCUCCAAUGGUACCACUACCGACUUGUCGGCNAUGUGACACGUGGAAGGUGUCAUGAAUCUGUCCCAACUCUGCAGGUAGUUCCAACUGGUAGGCUGCCCUGCCUACUCUCGCAAUCACCCUGAAAGGACCAAUAUAUCGGGGCCCCAGCUUGCCCCUCUUCCUAAAUCGAAUUACUCCUUUCCAAGGAGAGACCUUCAGGAGUAUAAAGUCGCCGACCUGAAAUUCGAGCUCGGACCGGCGCCUGUCCGCAUAACUCUUCUGACGACUCUGAGCGGUCAACAGCCUCUGUCUGACCUGCUGAAUCUGCUAUGUCGUUUGGAGCACUAUCUCUAUACUACCCAUCACACGCUGCCCUACCUCUCCCCAACAAAUAGGAGUCCGACACCUCCUCCCAUACAACAGCUCAAAGGGUGGCAUACCAAUGCUCGAAUGAUGGCUGUUGUUGUAGGAAAACUCCGCCAAGGGUAAAUACAUGUCCCAACUCCUGCCGAAAUCCAACACACAUGAUCAGAGCAUGUCCUCGAGCGUCUGAAUCGUCCGCUCACUCUACCCGUCAGUCUGUGGGUGGUAUGCGGUACUAAAAUGCAGCCUCCUACUCAAUUCCUCAUGAAAUUUCUUCUAAAAUUUGGAAGUAAAAUGCACAUCUCGAUCUGAGACAAUCGAGAUCGGAACUCCAUGUCACGAUACCACCUCUCUCACGUACAUCUCUGCCAACCUCUCAACGGAAGAGCUCUCACUGAUAGCAAGGAAGUGAGCGCUCUUCGUCAACCUGUCUACAAUCACCCAAAUUGCAUCGACGACCCUCGUUGUCUUCGACAAUUUGGUGAUAAAAUCCAUGGCAAUCUGUUCCCACUUCCACUCGGGAACCUCUAAAGGCUGCAACUUACCUUGCGGUCUCUGGUGCUCGGCAUUAACCCUACGACAUGUUAAGCACCUCUCAACGAACCACACGACAUCCCUCUUCAUACAGGGCCACCAAUACUCCUUCUUCAGGUCCAAAUACAUCUUAGUGGCACUGGGAUGGAUCGAGAACCUCGAUCUAUGCGCCUCGUCCAUCAAAAUGGUACACAUAUAGCCCACAAAUGGUACCCAAAUCCGACCCUGAAAAGUCAUAAGCCCUCGGUUGUCGGUAACGAACUCCGACACCUGCCCGAUAACCCUCCCUCUCUCUUACGGUUCUCCGGUCUCACUGCCUCAGCCUGGGCCCCUUGAAUGGUGUCCAACAACAGAGUCAUCACAGUCAAUCUCAUACAAAUGUCUCGUAUCAGGGCACGUUCUGCCCUACGACUCAGGGCGUCGACUACAACAUUAGCCUUGCCCGGGUGGUACAGGAUCUCACAAUCAUAAUCCUUUACCACAUCCAACCACCUCCUUUGCCGCAUGUUCAUGUUGGGAUGAUCCAUCAAGUACUUCAAAUUCUUGUGGUCCGUGUAUAUGGUACACCGAACCCCAUAAAGAUAGUGACGCCAGAUCUUGAGGGGGAACACUACUGCCCCUAACUCCAGAUCGUGAGUGGGAUAUCUCACCUCAUGAGGCUUCAAUUGCCUCGAUGCAUACGCUAUCACAUGCCCCCUCAGCAUGAGCACUGCACCUAACCUGGAUAUAGAUGCGUCACAGUAAACCACAAAAUCAUCAAUUCCCUCUGGGAGGGAUAGCACCGGGGCUUCACACAACUUCUGGCGAAGAGUCUCAAACAACGUCUGCUGUUCUGGACCCCAUGAGAAAGCAACACCCUUUCGGGUCAAACUAGUGAGUGGCACUGCAAUCUUGGAGAAGUCCUGAAUGAAUCUCCGAUAAUAGCCAGCCAACCCUAGAAAACUCCUGAUCUCGGAGGCAGACUUUGGUACCUCCCAGCUCAUCACCACCUCAAUCUUUGCCGGAUCGACCAAAAUCCCAUUCUGGUUAACAAGAUGUCCUAGGAACUGGACCUCCCAUAACCAGAAAUCACACUUGGAGAAUUUGGCGUAGAGCCUCUCUGAUCUCAAAACCCCGAGGAUCUCCCUCAAAUGCUCCUCAUGCUACUCUCUAGACCUCGAAUACACCAAUAUAUCAUCAAUGAACACGAUCAUCGAGCGAUCCAACAUCAGCAUGCACACUCUGUUCAUGAGAUCCAUGAACGCUGCUGGUGCAUUGGUGAGCCCGAAAGGCAUCACCACGAACUCAUAGUGCCCGUAUCGCGUCCUGAAUACCGUCUUCUGUAUAUCCUCAUCACGCACCCUCAUCUGGUGAUAUCUAGACCUCAAAUCAAUCUUGGAGAACCAAGAUGCCCGCUGAAGCUGAUGAAAUAAGUCAUCAAUCCUUAGUAACGGAUAACGAUUCUUAACCGUUAAUUUGUUCAACUCCCGGUAAUCUAUACACAUCCGGUGUGAACCAUCAUUCUUCUUGACGAAGAGAAUCAGCGCUCCCCAAGGUGAGCUGCUCGGAUGAAUGAACCACUUCCCCAACAGCUCCUGCAGCUGUGAGGAUAACUCCUGCAUCUCUGGCGGUGCUGGGCGAUAUGGCGCCUUAGCGAUAGGCACAGCCCCGGGAAUCAAAUCGAUGCGAAAUUCCACCUGCCUCUCGGGAGGCACACCCGACAACUCCUUGGGAAAUACAUCUAGGAACUCACACACUAUCAGAACAUCAUCAACUGAACUCGGCCUUCCAACGGCCUCACGUGUAUCCAUCACAUAGGCCAGAAACCCCUUGCAACCCUGCUGCAAACUCUGCCUCGCUUUGGCAGCCGAACAGAAUGUUGAAUCACUACGAGGAUAACUCCUGCAUAUCUGGCGGUUCUAGGCGAUAUGGCGCCUGAGCGAUAGGCGCAGCCCCGGGAAUCAAAUCGAUGCGAAAUUCCACCUGCCUCUCGGGAGGCAUACCCGACAACUACUCGGGAAAUACAUCUAGGAACUCACACACUAUCAGAACAUCAUCAACUGAACUCGGCCUUCCAACGGCCUCACGCGUAUCCAUCACAUAGGCUAGAAACCCCUUGCAACCCUGCUGUAAACUCUGCCUCGCUCUGGCAGCCGGACAGAAUGCUGAAUCACUACGAGUCCCCUCACCAUAAACUUUCAGCACUCCCCCACUAGGAUCUCGGAUCGUCACCAACUGCUGCUCGCAGUCUAUCACUGCCCCAACACGGCUCAACCAAUCCAUGCCCAUGAUAACACAUAUGUCCCCAUCGCAAUCGGAACCUGAUCUAUUGGAAACCCAACACCGAAGAUCUCAAGUACACAUCCCCGAAUCACAUAUGUGGCAUACACUGCCCGCUCGUCAGCUAUGGAAACACGCAAAGGUCGACUCAUCACCUCUCGCUGAAUACCGAUGUGCCUACUGAAAGCUAAUGAUACAAAUGACCGACUGACACCCGAAUCAAAUAACACCAAAGCAGGUACAAAUUCACAAGGAAAGUUCCUACGCAUGUCAUGAUAUAAGCACAAUAUCUCAUCAUAAAAAUAAAUAUAUGAACGAAUACAUACCAGCCACGACAUCAGGUGCUGCACGGACCUCCUCCGCUGUCAGCUGGAACGCCCUCUCUUGCGUCUUCGACACCUCGACCUUCACCAGCCGACCCUCACUAGCUCUCACAGCAGCAGGGGCAUAUCCCUGAGAUGCUCCCUGUCUUGUCCCUCGCAACUAUGGACACUCCGCCUUCCAGUGCCUAGUCUGGUUGUAAUGAAAGCAGACCAUGAAUCCCUUGGGGCAAUCCUUGGCGAUAUGCCCCUCCUUUCCACACUUGUAGCAAGCACCAGCCCUACAAACUCCAUCAUGACCCUUGUCACACUUUCUGCAAGUGCGGCCCUUCUGACCCCCAUACCUCGAAUCGGCGGGCUUGGCCCGCUUGGCUGCCGGCUGAGACUGUGCCGGUCGCCGAUUCACCUUUUGAGACUUAGCCUCCUCCCUGACACGUGUCUCCAAUUCAAUCUCCCUGUUCCGGGCAUUUUCCUGAAGCCCAACAAAUGUCCGGUAUGAUGAGUUUUCCACAAACUCACAAAUGUCUCUCCUCAGAAUGCUUAGAUAUCAGCUCAUACGUGCCUGGUCGGUCGACACGUGCUCAGGGCAGAACAUCGCCCUCUCAUGAAACAUCCGGGUAAUCGCAGUAAAUGACUCAGUACCCUACUUGAGGGUCAAGAAAUCUUGAGCCAAACACUCCCGUUCCACCAAGGGAACGUACUCAUCACGAAACAUAGCAGUGAACCUUUCCCUAGUCACCGCAGCAAGCUCUGCUGAAUAGUAGUGCGCUUUCACGAACUUCCACCAGUCCUUCGCCCCCAAGCGAAGCUGGUUCAGCACGAACCGAACUAUCAGAUGCUCCGGACACGAACAUGUAUAAAAGCACCCCUCUAUGUUAGAGAUCCACCUCAUCGCUGCUAUCGGAUCCUGAGUCCUGUCAAACUCUGGUGGCUUCGUGUUGCUGAACUCCAGGUACAACAACUAGUCACCCCCUGUGGCCUGGCAGCAGCAAUGGCCGCAGUGGCUGCUGCAACAGCAGCAUCAGAAAGAGCAGCAUACCGCUCAUCAAAAGUCUCAAUCAAGGUCGUCUUAAUAGACCCGAACAUCUCUGGAAUCUCAGCCCUGAUGGCCGCAGCCACCUCCUCGUGGAUGAUCCUACAGAUCUCCUCAUCACUCGUCCAACUACUCUCUGGUGUUUGGAGUGUCCCAACCAUGAUCUACCUCUGAAAUACAACAUAAAAAUAUCAGAGACUCCCUCGAGUAUACUUACACUCGAUAAACCCACCCUACUUGUCCCUUGGUACCGUAAGGAUUCUUACGUGGACUGUGCACUGACCCGGUGUCUUCAGUAGUACGGGCCCAAUACUACCGUCCACACCGCAUCAGCAUCCUCCUCUGAGGAUCCCAAGUCACAAGUACUCUACCUCUUUUCACACAUAAACUACCCUUCGGUAGACUCUCAUAGCACCUCACUGCUACCUACUUACUCUAAAGCGUCUCAUGCCAAUAGAAAUCUUCCUAGGCUAAGGCAUCACAAAUCAGGUGUGACAACCCGAAAUUUUUUAUUUUAUAAGCUAAGUCAGUUAACUCCAUUGAGUGUCAAAAUCAUUAGUAUAGAGUUAUAGCCUGGUUACAGGUCAUUCUAAGGAGUUUUGAGCCUAAAACACUUAAGGAUUAAGUGUUAGAAAGUACCCGCUAGAACCACAGUGUAGUAAAUCGAACCUAAACCCCAUCUAAGUGAGUUCACGGCCACAAGACCAUGAUUUUAUGGCUGUAAACUGAAGGGUAUAUAUAGAGCAUUGGGUCAUUUCCUCUCAUUUCUUCCUUUCUUGGCCGAAUUUUCUUCCAAAUCCUCUCAACUACCAUUCAACCUUCUUCCUUAGAUCUUCAAAAGAACGAGUAUUCUAUCCCUUGAUUAGUUAAUACAUCUUAUUAACUAGCUUCUUACAUUGAUUUCAUCCAUGAAAAUCAUGUUUGUUUAGAUAUUCAAGUUACACCAAGAACACCAAGAACACACACUAGUGUUCUUGGUCAAUAUCAACCAUUUCAAGCUUCUAGAUCAUAAGUGCUCUUCCCUAUACUACAUAUUCAGUUAGGAUUCAUGUUUAGACACUUAAAAACAUUAAGAAUCAAAGGUUGGAAGAGAGUAUACGGCCAAGCAUGUUCUUGGGCCGUAAACUCCCUUUUAUGGUGCAAAGAUGUCCUAAAUUCCUUCCUUAUGCCUAGAAUCUAGCCUAGCACCCUACCUUGAUGUGUUUAGGACUCAAAAAAAUCAAAAUACCAUCAACCAUAGGUGAUUACGGCUGCAAACACAUGACAAAGUGGUCCAUGGGCCGUAAACACCCCAAAGGCUUCAAAGAUAGUGGUCUUCCUCAUCCUAGGGUAGAACUAAGGUCCCUAAAACAUCCCUAGCCUUCAAGCUUGCACUUAUACAUGAGUAACCAUGAGUUUACGGCCACAAACUCCCUUAGGCCGUAAACCCAUGGUAGUAAACUCAUGUAAGUGCCAUUCUACCUUCCUUUGUUGAAUCACAUGUGAUUCCAACACAUGGUCAAGGUCUUUCCUAGUCCCGGAAGGUGUUUCCUUUCAUAUAGUUGUUAUAAACACUUCAUGCCAAUAUGUGUCAUUAUAUAUCAUUUAGGACUUGUUGUGUCUCGGGACUUCAUUCGUGGAACUUCUCAUCCAUACGCGCAUUCCCGUUUGAAUCACCCACAUCAGGUGAGUUCAUACCCCGUAAUGAAUCUUUUAACUAUUUUAACUGUUUUAAGGGGGGAAUACAAGAUGAACACAGUGAUAAUUGUGUAAAUGUUUGUUAUAAACAUCUUUCAAAAUGUUACUUAUAUUAUUUAUAAGUUGUCAAAACAUUCCAAAACUCUUUUAAAGGUUAUGUUACUUUAUAGUUAUACAAAACUCCGUUUUUAAAGUACAAGCAUAACUUAGUAGAUAAAUGAGUCUCUUCAGUAACAGUUUAGGUAGAACAUUAGUAAACUAUUAUAGGUAUAGUUUAGUAGAAUGCUAUUCAUUACUUCUAGUACAAUGAAGCACACAAAGAGUCAGUUCGGUUCAUGAGUCUAUACUAAAUGCGUUAACUUAAAUACGUUUACAUAGAUACGCUUACAUGAAUACGUUUACAUAAUAACGAUAUCAAUGCACGAUAAUAGAACAGAACAUAAUAAGGUGCUAUAGCAUGGAAUGUUUUCAGGAUCUAACUAUACCAAUGAAUCACAACGCAUUGUGAUAGUUUUAUUGGGUAUACAUGGUCAUAGCAAUGUGGAUGUUCGCGGGUUGCACUCAUGCAGGGGUCGCAUGUAGUUCCUAGAAUCUCUUGAUAAGGGAGCGCUUACCAUAGGAUCUAGCCAUCACAUUAUGCCUUAACCCUCAAUUAAGGCAAAAUAGUACUAAAAGUAGUCACUUAUUACAAAUACUAUAGUACUUACACUGUAAAUACGACAAUUACAGAAGGAUAUAAAAUUCCAGUUUCAAUAUUAUUAAUACAUUUACCGUGUGUCAUAUUCACAUAAUCGAUGAGGUAGGUUAGAUUUAAUUAAUAAUGGUUGUAUAGUUGGGUCUUGGUAGAAGGCUACUUUCAAAAUAGUAGGGUCUUGGUAGAAGGCUACUUUCAAAACAGUCGGGUCUUGGUAGAAGGCUACUUUUAAAAAGUUAGGACCAUAAUGCUAAUCUUAUGAUUCCUUAAUGUAUUCACCAUAGGAUACAUAUAUACCAAUAGGAUCCGACAACUAAUAGGAUGUGUGCUCUCCGCUUCAUUUCUUGUCCUUGUUUGGUUGUGGGCUUGGAACGGAUUCACCCAAUCUAUUAUCUACCCGAUUCUAUAGAUAUUUAUGCUUAGUAUACAUUAAGUCAUCAUAAGGGUACCAGGUAUGGAUCAGGUUAUAGGACACAGAGUCAAAGCACAGCUUUUCCAGUACAAAACAUACUUUUCAAAGUCAUUACUUUUGGUAUACAAAACUAGAAACUUCCCAGAUAAGGGCUUAAUCCAUUUUAUUAAGCCAGUAUACACUGAAAGACUUUAGGUGAAUAACUUUAUAACACCUUAGUUUAUACACCAUGUUUAUAUAUAAAACUAAUACCCAAUAGAUAGUUAAAUGUGUGUUUUCCGCCUUACUUCCUGUCCUCGUUGGGUUGUGGACUUAGGGCAGAUUCACCCAAUUAACUUUCUACCUGAUAUCAGAUUAUAUAUAGCAGUAUAAACAAAGCUAUUAUAAAAGUAGUCACCAUGGUCAAUAUUUUACUAUAAGAAAUAUAGGUUUUCUUAAAAGAACUUUUCAGUAAAUAUAAAGGAACCAUUACAAAUAACUCCAUGAGUAACAAGUGAAUACACCAGGGUUAUUUAUGACAACGAUCUAACAACCAAUUGAAUGUGUGCUAUCCGCCUUACUUUUUGUUCCCCGUUGGGGUGUGAGCUUAGGGAAGAUGCGCACAAUCGAUUGUUUGUUUACUCUGAGUAUAUAUAGAUUGUACUCACUUAGUACCCAUAGAAAUGAUUGUAGUAUCAUUUUUCUUAACUUUCAUUCAAGUAGGAAAUAUAUGAUUUUCUAGAGGAACAAACGAACUUUUCAAAACAGAACUUACAACUUACAUCACUUGUACAUAUACAUUUUCAACCACACUUUACAACUUACUCACAUCACUAAAAUCUUAUGAACUCACCAGCUUAAUUGCUGAUCAAAUCUUUCAAAUAAUUUGUAUUCUCAGCAGACUAUUAGACAGGUGCUCGCACUGGGGAUUUAGAAGAUGAAGCAUUACAACUUCAAGUCUUAUUUUGUUAUUAAUUUAUGAACUCUAUGUUUUGUGAAAACACAUUGUAAACACUUUCUUUUGAAAUGAAAUGGUUGUUUAUUACUUGCUUUCCAUAUACAUAUCUCGUGAUACUUGACAUGACAUCCUCCACCCCCGAACGUUUCCGCCGUUCCGGUUUUGGGGUGUGACAUCAGGCCACUCUAGUCCUAAUAUGAAUACCUAGCCUACUCUAGCAUGCAUAGCACAUUUCAAUAUAUCUCAUAACACAAAAUGUAAGGGUAUUUUGGGAAAUCACCGUUCGGGAGCUGGUUGAUCGUACACACUGCUUCUUUUCAUAUCUUUUCAACUCUUUUACUUUUCAGAAAAAUUGUUUAUCUUAUGAAAAUUUCUCAAAUCCUCAUUUUGAGUUCAAAUACACCCGAAGAUGAAUCUAAAUCCCUCAAACCAAGGCUCUGAUACCAAUUUGUAACACCGUAAAAUUUAAAACGAAUUUUCACUUAAUUUUUUAAUAAAACAUUUCCUUAUUAAAUCAUCAAAAAGUCAAGUAUCCAUUGUUUCCACAAAAUACAUAACAUAAUCCAUAACCCAAGAUCUCAAAAACAUGAAAUCUACUGAUCAAGCUGGCGCCUCCCGCGAUCAUCGCUAGUACCUGAAACACAAAACACAUAACACUGUAAGCACGAAUGCUUAGUGAGUUCCCCAAAAUACCACGUACCGCACAUACACCUUUCCAGGCCAUAGGAUCUUCCGAUCCAAGUGCCUCAGGGAAUUUCCAUCCCAGACUCUAUUGACCUUCCGGUCCAUAUCAUCUUAACCUUCCGGUCCAC